GGGCGUAAAGGGCGUAAAGGGCGCGUAGGCGGCGUGGUAAGUCAGCUGUGAAAUCUCCGAGCUUAACUCGGAACGGUCAGCUGAUACUGCUGUGCUAGAGUACAGAAAGGGCAAUCGGAAUUCUUGGUGUAGCGGUGAAAUGCGUAGAUAUCAAGAGGAACACCUGAGGCGAAGGCGGGUUGCUAGGCUGAUACUGACGCUGAUGCGCGAAAGCUAGGGUAGCAAACGGGAUUAGAUACCCCGGUAGUCCUAGCCCUAAACGAUGAAUGCUUGGUGUCUGGANUUUAAGUCUCCGGGUGCCGUCGCUAACGCUUUUAGCAUUCCGCCUGGGGAGUACGCCCGCAAGUGUGAAACUCAAAGGAAUUGACGGGGACCCGCACAAGCCGUGG
rnacentral:rRNA from 1 species